UACAGAGGGGGCAAGCGUUGUUCGGAAUUACUGGGCGUAAAGGGCGCGUAGGCGGCCUGCUAAGUCGAACGUGAAAUCCCCGGGCUCAACCCGGGAACUGCGUCCGAUACUGGUUGGCUUGAAUCCGGGAGAGGGAUGCGGAAUUCCAGGUGUAGCGGCGAAAUGCGUAGAUAUCUGGAGGAACACCGGUGGCGAAGGCGGCAUCCUGGACCGGCAUUGACGCUGAGGCGCGAAAGCCAGGGGAGCAAACGGG
rnacentral:rRNA from 1 species